rnacentral:rRNA from 1 species
AUUGAACGCUGGCGGCAGGCUUAACACAUGCAAGUCGAGCGGAGAUGAGGUGCUUGCACCUUAUCUUAGCGGCGGACGGGUGAGUAAUGCUUAGGAAUCUGCCUAUUAGUGGGGGACAACAUUCCGAAAGGAAUGCUAAUACCGCAUACGCCCUACGGGGGAAAGCAGGGGAUCUUCGGACCUUGCGCUAAUAGAUGAGCCUAAGUCGGAUUAGCUAGUUGGUGGGGUAAAGGCCUACCAAGGCGACGAUCUGUAGCGGGUCUGAGAGGAUGAUCCGCCACACUGGGACUGAGACACGGCCCAGACUCCUACGGGAGGCAGCAGUGGGGAAUAUUGGACAAUGGGGGGAACCCUGAUCCAGCCAUGCCGCGUGUGUGAAGAAGGCCUUAUGGUUGUAAAGCACUUUAAGCGAGGAGGAGGCUUCUUUGGUUAAUACCCAAAGUAAGUGGACGUUACUCGCAGAAUAAGCACCGGCUAACUCUGUGCCAGCCGCCGCAGUAAAAC